AGGGAAACUUGUUAGGUGAGGUUCCUAUAUGAAAAUAUGCUACUGCCCAGAAAUGUGGAGACACACCAAUGGGUCAGCAGGUACUACCGAAUUAAGGUUUUAUCUAAUGUAGCUGAGAAUUCUCUAAGUCAUAUAGUGCCAAAGCUCGACUAGGUGGAGUUUUUAG
rfam:Clostridium acidisoli DSM 12555 genome assembly, contig: EJ29DRAFT_scaffold00012.12